AAAGGCUGUGGUAUCACAGCCGAGGUCUGAAGGACAGACAGGGAGAAAGAUGUGUCCGUGUGGGCCUGGGGUAUGAUGAGGAAUGGACACUGGAAUCCACAAUGUAAAGUAGAUAAUAAAAAAGAAUUGUGGGAUUAACUCUCUUCCUAAAGGAAUGAGAACAGCAAACCUGUCGUAGUCGUGGAAGUUAUGUUUUCAAACAAUCUUUAAUUUGAUGGGAUUAAAUAGAAAGAAAAUGGAAUUGUGAAAUUUGCAGGAAAGUGGAUAUUCCUCAAAAGUAUAAGCUAAAAGAAUUCAAACUCAGACAGAAAGCCCUGCACAUCCCCUUGGAUGCGAGUUCCAGUGUGAUGGAUACAUGUUCACGCGGGUCCUGCAGGUGAUGAGAAGGGGAGAACAGAGGCAAAGGGACAGGCAGGUCAAGGCAGAUCAGAAAGACUGGUCUGGUGAGAGUAAACUUGGACUUGACCAUGGCUGCUGUUAUUUGGGACUGUUGCCACAUCCACAGAAAUGCAUGGACCAUGAAAGAGUCUGGGUGGUGACACCAGCAGGUCACUAAGAGUGUCACCAGAUUGGAGGAACUAGAAGUGGGAAGCUGUGCCUUCAUUCUUCUUGGUCAAAGACCAAAGCAUUCGUGAAGUUGAGGGUGAAUGAAAGAGAAGUAAAAAGGAAAAGAAAGACAUGACGGCUAUACGUACGCUGGAGGAGAAAGUUUGUCAUAGAUAUGUAUACCCAGAGGCAGACACACCAGGGAAGGAAAGGGAGAGAGAAGAGAGGGGAACCAGCUGCAGCAGCCAGAGACCGAAGAUACAAAAAGCAUGCGUAACCAAAAGAGCUAUAGUUACAGUCCUGGGUGACCACACUGGCUCCCUGAAGAACUUUGGAGGCCACAUUCAGAGCCCAGUGAGGACGGCCCCGGAAGACAUAUCAUCUCUUAGGAGCUUUGUGCUUUCACCCACCAAUGGCAAAGAUGGUCCUGACACACCUUGGUCAUGUUUCUGAGGAAAGGAAAAACAUAGCCACUCCUCAGUAACCCUCACCGAUCGAUCUCAGCCUUGUGCUCACCAGCCCUCACCGAUCUCCUCAGUGCCGUGCUGGAUGCUCUGAUGAGGGUCUCCUGUGGUUCUGAUUGGCCUGGAACUUUCUUCACUUACCAGGCUGGCUUCAAGGAAAUCACCUGCCUCUGCUUCUUCUGAAAUUAAAGUGGGGUGCUAGAUACUAUAUAGUAUCUUCAAAGCAGAGACUUUCACUGUGGAAUCAGAGCAUAUCCAGAUCUUGAAAUGCAAUAAUAAGACGGGACACACAGAAAGCCCUACAAUGGCAAGUCAGAGGGUCUUCCCUCAGUCUAGGCUUGUGACGGCCAGAGCUCUUGCACGAUCCAGCAGCAGGAGGUCAGUGUUGAUCAGAGCCAGAGAAGAACAACUGUUACCAAAUAUCCUUGAGGCAAACAGAGGCAGGUGGAUCUCUGUGGGUUCAAGACCAGCUUGGUCUACAUAGCCAGUUGGUGGUCAGCCAGGGCUAUAUAGUGAGACAAAGAAGAAGAAAAACCACAGAAAAAAGAGCCCACUGUGGACAACAGAGGAACACUAUGGACUAUAUGCAACAGAAGAACAGGGUCUUCCAUCAACUUCUGGAGGGGAGCCAGGAACAACGGCAAGAGCUCGUAAUGGGGACUUUAUGAUAUUCCUCUGACCAACAACUUCAAACCACGGCCUCAUUCCUGGCACUUUGACUACCUCUGCUGUCCCAGAGGACAUCGAAAUUCUUUUUUAUACAUGUUUAUGUUUUAUGAAGUUUCCACAGUAGCAUGAUUCCACAUAUUUUCCCCAAAGGUCUCUAGUGUUAGCUAUCCUUCCAUAUACUCCCAAAGGUGGGUAUUUUAAAUAAAAAAAUU
rnacentral:lncRNA from 1 species